CGUCUAGGCGGAAGCGCAAGUCAGGGGUGAAAUCACGCGGCUUAACUGCGUGCCUGCCUUUGAAACUGCGUUUCUUGAGUGCGGAAGAGGUGUGGGGAAUUCCCAGUGUAGCGGUGAAAUGCGUAGAUAUUGGGAAGAAUGCCGGUGGCGAAGGCGCCACACUGGUCUAGCACUGACGCUGAAGCGCGAAAGCGUGGGGAGCGAACG
rnacentral:rRNA from 1 species